UACGUAGGUGGCAAGCGUUGUCCGGAUUUACUGGGCGUAAAGCGUAUGCAGGCGGAUCGGUAAGUAGGAAGUGAAAGGUUGGGGCUCAACCCUAACACUGCUCCCUAUACUGCCGGUCUUGAGUGCCGGAGAGGACAAGGGAACGGGUCGUGUAGCGGUGAAAUGCGUUGAGAUGACUCGGAACACCAAUGGCGAAAGCACUUGUCUGGACGGAAACUGACGCUGAGAUACGAAAGCCAAGGGAGCGAACAGG
rnacentral:rRNA from 1 species